GAAUAAUUUUCUCACCAUGUGAUUCAGUGUUAUUUAUAGCUCUGAACCACUUGAAGCCAUUUUGUAUGGCUUGAACUAUCGCCCACUACUUCCAUCAACUGAGAUAUCUACACUUUGGAAUUUCUCUUGAUACUGAUCCAAUCAACUUUUGUUUUCAAGAUCAUGGUGCUAAGAGCGUAUGUAGUAGUUCAAGUUGCCUCUUUUAAAAGAAUUAUUCUGGAUAGGGUCUAAUGUAGCCUCCCACUGGCUAUGAAGGCAUAAAAGAGAAAGGAUUUGUCUAUUGAAAUCUCAGUUCUUACAACAUUUUAUGAAAUUUACCUCAAGAUGGAACAUUUUCAAAGCUGAUUUUAAAAAGUGGGUUCUCAUCACUUGAAUUAUAAAACUUCAGAGACUCUGAGAGAAUUAUAGCCCUGAGUCCAGGAAGAUGAGCCCACAAAAACAGGUCAAAGCUGCAGGCAGAGGAGGCACUUAGGGUUGACUGAAGAAGAGAAGAAACAAACCUACAGCACUUGGCAUUUAUUGAAGGGAGACAGAGAAGCAGCAAGUGCUUUCUGAGGAAAGAACAGAUGGAAGGAAAAUUAAGCAAAGUUAAAAAACAUUGCUGUGGUCUGUUCCACAAAAACCAGCAGAGCUGUGGUUUCUCCAGAGUCAGAGAAUUGAAAGCUCGUCUCCCUCACCAGUUAUUACUUGACCUUUCAUCUUCUGAAGCCCGACUAGCAUGCAGGCAGCUUCCUUGGAAUUUUUAGCUGACAGAUGUGAUCUAAAGUUCCCUGCAGUUGCCUGAAAAUAAAGGAAUCAGAACACAAAAUCUUCCCUGGUCU
rnacentral:lncRNA from 12 species